rnacentral:rRNA from 1 species
GAUGAACGCUGGCGGCGUGCCUAAUACAUGCAAGUCGAGCGAACGGACGAGAAGCUUGCUUCUCUGAUGUUAGCGGCGGACGGGUGAGUAACACGUGGAUAACCUACCUAUAAGACUGGGAUAACUUCGGGAAACCGUAGCUAAUACCGGAUAAUAUUUUGAACCGCAUGGUUCAAAAGUGAAAGACGGUCUUGCUGUCUCGUAUAGAUGGAUCCGCGCUGCAUUAGCUAGUUGGUAAGGUAACGGCUUACCAAGGCAACGAUGCAUAGCCGACCUGAGAGGGUGAUCGGCCACACUGGAACUGAGACACGGUCAAGACUCCUACGGGAGGCAGCAGUAGGGAAUCUUCCGCAAUGGGCGAAAGCCUGACGGAGCAACGCCGCGUGAGUGAUGAAGGUCUUCGGAUCGUAAAACUCUGUUAUUAGGGAAGAACAUAUGUGUAAGUAACUGUGCACAUCUUGACGGUACCUAAUCAGAAAGCCACGGCUAACUACGUG